rnacentral:rRNA from 2 species
UCGAACGAGUUCUCGUUGAUGAUCGGCGCUUGCACCGAGAUUCAACAUGGAACGAGUGGCGGACGGGUGAGUAACACGUGGGUAACCUGCCCUUAAGUGGGGGAUAACAUUUGGAAACAGAUGCUAAUACCGCAUAGAUCCAAGAACCGCAUGGUUCUUGGCUGAAAGAUGGCGUAAGCUAUCGCUUUUGGAUGGACCCGCGGCGUAUUAGCUAGUUGGUGAGGUAAUGGCUCACCAAGGCGAUGAUACGUAGCCGAACUGAGAGGUUGAUCGGCCACAUUGGGACUGAGACACGGCCCAAGACUCCUACGGAAGGCAACAGUAGGGAAUCUUCCACAAUGGACGCAAGCCUGACGGAGCAACGCCGCGUGAAUGAAGAAGGCUUUCGGAUCGUAAAACUCUGUUAUUAGGGAAGAAUGGUCGGCAGAGUAACUGUUGCCAGCGUGACGGUAUCCAACCAGAAAGCCACGGCUAAUUACGUGCCAGCAGCCGCGGUAAUACGUAGGUGGCAAGCGUUAUCCGGAAUUAUUGGGCGUAAAGCGAGCGCAGGCGGUUUUUUAAGUCUUGAUGUGAAAAGCCCCGGCUUAACCAAGAAGGGCAUCAGAAAACGGGAAACUUGAGUGCAAGAAACAGCAGUGGAACUAUGUGUAGCGGUGAAAGCAAGAAUGGAAGGAAACCAGCGGUGGGGGGGGGCGUCUGGUCUGAAACUGAAGCCGAAAAGCGGGGGGAGCAAGAGGGAUUAGAUACCCUGUAAGUCCCACCGCAAACGAUGAGUGCCAAGUGCUUAGAGGGUUUCCGCCCCCUUAGUGCUGCAGCUAAACCGUUAAGCCCAAAUCUUUGGUUAAGUUGGGCACUUCAGUUUGACUGCCGGUUGGGGCCCUAACACCACGUGCCUUACCAUGGA